GAAAAGUUUUAUUUUAGCUUUAAAAAUUGUAGUUUUAGUUUAUAUAUAUGAAAUGUUGAGUAAGUUAUGGUAGUAUAUAGUAUUAUAUAAUUAAUGGAUAUAGAUUUAAUUUAAAGUUUGGAUAAAUUUGUGCCAGCAUCUGCGGUUAUACAUGGAAAUUAAAUAAUUUAUUGAUAGUUAGAUUUUAUUAAAGUGUAAGAGAAAAGUUGAUAUAAACGGUAAAAUGAUAAAUCGGUAAUUUAAGAUUUAAUAAUUCUGAAAGUAAAGAGAAGACCAGGAUUAGAUACCCUGUUAUGAAUAUUUAAAUAGAUGACUAAAGUAGUAAAUUAAAUUUAAACUUAAAAAAUUUGGCGGUAAUAAGUAAAUGUAGAGGAAUUUGCCCCGUAAUCGAUAGUCCUCGGGUAUUACUUAAUUUAAAGCUUAUAUAUCGCUGUUGAAAAAAUUAAUUAGGAAUUUAAUUUGAAUAACUGUAAGGUGUAAUAACAAGUCAAGGUUUAGUUAAUAGUUAAGGGGAGGUGAAUUACUAAAAAUUUAAUUUUGGAUUUCUUUUGAAAUAAUAAAAUGAAAUAGGAUUUAAUAGUAAACGUUUAUUAAACAAUAAUAGUUGAAUGUAAAACUUAGUAUGCACAUAUUGCCCGUCGCUCUUAUUGAAAAUUAAGAUAAGUCGUAACAAAGUAGGUUUGCUGGAAGGGAAUUCUAUAUAGAG
rnacentral:ncRNA from 1 species